CUCAGAAGGCAUGGCAGAGUUGAGCUGUCUCAGCCAUUGUGUGCCAGGGAAGCAUCACCUAGAGGUUUGGAGCAAAAUUGAGAGUAGGAUCAUUUGAAAUCAACAGGGUACAAAGUAAGCAGAGUAGCAUAGCUCCCAGCGGCACACUACUCGCUGCAUGACCCACAUUUAAACAGCAGCUUCCUGCUGAAGUCAGGCCAUAAAGGGAUGCCUGAAGGAAUCCUGAACAGGACAGGGAGGAAAGGGGUACCAAGGAAUAAAAGAUUGAUGAAGGCUGUGUUAAAGAAGUGGUGUUCCAGCUGAGCCUGAAAGCAAAGGUCAAGUUUGAAUUGAUAGAGGUGAGAAAAGAAGACAUUCUAGAUGAGAAGGGCAACGUGAGGCAACGUGAGGAAAAUCCUAAGGGUGAAAGUAAGCAGGGUUCCAGGGAUACAUGUGCAGGUUUCUUACAUGGGAUACAUUGCAUGUCACUGAGGAUUGGUGUACAAUGAUCCCGUCACCCAGAUCUGCUCUGCACCCUUUCCAUCUGUCCUCAGCCAGGAAAACUGACCUAUAAGGACCAUAUCACCUGGGUUCCUGUGACUUCUGGCUUCGAGUUGAAGACCGUCAAUGGGGAACAUGAUUAGCAGACUGGGGCAGAGGACAAGGAAGAAGAGUUCAGGCAACUGACUCCUCUCGCUCAUUUCUUCAAGCCUAGGAAUGUUCCACCUGUCUCCAAGUUCCUGCAUUUUCCCUUGUGGUAAUGCUAUAUUCACACUCAACCUGUUGUAAAUAAAUCCUGAUUAAAAUCACCUUGAGUGUACUUUCCGUUUUCAGAUGGAACACUGAUUGACAGAACCAUUCACACCCCAGUCAUAAAUCAGCCCUAGAUUUAAUAUGAGUCUAUCUUCU
rnacentral:lncRNA from 1 species